ensembl:lncRNA uncharacterized LOC114800059
CAGCCCUUGUUUCCACGCUGACUUCCGCGUGCGGAGCUUCAGCGUCUGACACUAAAAUCUCUCCAGCCUGUUGCUCGGCCUGGACAAUAAUACAGUGCAGUAACAUCUCACAUAUUCCGAAUGGACGGUUUGUGAUUCUGCCACGGGGAGGGUGGACCUUUCCUCGCUGUGAACAUGACCGCGUCGGAGGCUUCAUCCAUCAGCCUGCCGCACUGGCGAGGAGGAGCAAGGAGGAUUCGCUACCUGUACCUCGCGGGCGACAGGUCCUUCCAAGUGACCGAGGGGCAUUCUGCGGAGGAGCACCUGAUUCCCCUGUUUUUAGGUGCAGACCUCUUUUCCGGCACUGAUGUUCGAACAGAGAACCAUCCUCGGUACCAUGCCAAGUUUGCCAAAAAAGGCCUAGCUGCUAAACUGGUGUUUUCCUCAGAUCACCGAUUCAAUGGGCUGCGGGUUCCUUGUUCCAGCAACAGUUUGUGGUUCUACAGCAUCCAGGGUGUCUUCCGUGUGGCCUUUGAACUUUACAGCAAGCAGGAGCAGCUUUCGGUCUUGGAGUCCUUUCAGGACCUGUGGAAAUCUCGUAUAAAGGACAACCUGCUGAAAAUGACCUAUGACCUCAGUGUCCGGCUGGACUCGCCUCAGCUUCAGCAUGCAUUGAAUGUAGAAAUGAGGGAAUCACAGGAUGCACAGAAGACCCCAAAGCCCUCCCAUCAUGGACCAGAGAGUGCUGAAGAACCUUUGGACGACGUCCCCGCUGAGGACCACGACUACUGUUCUCCGAACGGGGCGUGGACCGCAGGAGCGUCUAUGCCGCAGAGCCCCGUGCGGGAGAGACUGAGACGUCUGGACGAUAAGCUGUCCCAGAUUCAGAGUGUUGGUGGCCAGCAGCAGGAGUGCCUCCUCGCCCUGCUGAGGCUGGCCGAGGUUUGUGCCGCCGGCCCGUGGGACGAGGCGGCCUUCACGAGCGUCGUGUCCUCCAUGCUGCAGACACACCGUCCGGGCUCCUCGCCAAUCUACUCCAGCCCGUUACUCCAGGCGGUGGCCGGGUGGCUGGGCCGGCAGUUUCACGCUGCCAACAGCUGCAUCAGCCAGCAGGUGGAGGACUUCAAGGUGCGACACAUAGAGCGCAUCACCGACCUCCCGCCGGCGGAGGAGCUGACGGCCGAGCUGUUCCCCGAGGCCAUGAGAGCCCUGCUCACGCACUGGAUGGGCCUGACCGAGGAGGCGACCCCAUGGAAGCGGCACAGCGAGUAUCCCAUCCUCCUGCUCAUCCUGGAGUUCGCCAACCACAACCUCAUCACGGGUGUGGCCCAUGUGCUCUACUCCAGUCUCAUAUGUAAAUAA